UACGGAGGGGCUAGCGUUGUCCGGAAUUAUUGGGCGUAAAGAGCUCGUAGGCGGUGUGUCACGUCGUUCGUGAAAACCUGCAGCUUAACUGUGGGCGUGCGGUCGAUACGGGCAUCACUGGAGUUCGGCAGGGGAGACUGGAAUUCCUGGUGUAGCGGUGAAAUGCGCAGAUAUCAGGAGGAACACCGGUGGCGAAGGCGGGUCUCUGGGCCGAUACUGACGCUGAGGAGCGAAAGCGUGGGGAGCGAACAGG
rnacentral:rRNA from 1 species